GUAAGGAAUAUUGGUCAAUGGGGGCAACCCUGAACCAGCCAUGCCGCGUGAAGGAUGAAGGCGUUAUGCGUUGUAAACUUCUUUUGUAUGGGAAGAAUGACAGGGAUUCAUCCUUGGAGAGACGGUACCAUACGAAUAAGCACCGGCUAACUCCGUGCCAGCAGCCGCGGUAAUACGGAGGGUGCAAGCGUUAUCCGGAAUCACUGGGUUUAAAGGGUACGUAGGCGGUUAAUUAAGUCAGUAGUGAAAGACUGUCGCUCAACGACGGAUGUGCUAUUGAUACUGGUUAACUUGAAUCAGGUUAGAGUUGGCGGAAUGGGUCAUGUAGCGGUGAAAUGCUUAGAUAUGACUUGGAACACCGAUAGCGAAGGCAGCUGACUGAGCCUUGAUUGACGCUGAGGUACGAAAGCGUGGGGAUCAAACAGGAUUAGAAACCCUUGUAGUCC
rnacentral:rRNA from 1 species